AUUUUCAUAGAUGAUAUUUUCUAACAUCACUCAACUUGCAACAGUGGGACACAUUUUUGCCUUUUCUCUCGAAUAAACCUUCCUGUUUUAAUUUCUUCCUAGUCUCUGUUCAAUGACAGAUGUAGAGAACGAGGGCUCACAAGUGCUGAAUUGCUUGCUUUCCUCUGAAGCUUGAGUCCAGAGCAGAGUCAAUCUGUGCAGUCUCAACCUUUUCAUGAGUUACUACUUAAAAGGACUUUAAAUUGCUGAGAACACUAGGAUCAUGACAUCCACUUCCUUUAGGACCUUGAAAGGGAGACAAAUACCCAUGAUGUGAGCACUGAUGGUCUACUGCUCUCACUGCCUCAGCCUGGGUUCAUAUUCAGAUCAGGGAACCACAUCACCCAUCUGUCGGUUGUCAUAAACUGUGGGGGUUGCUGUGAUGCUGUAAGUUAUGCCACUGGUAUUUCAAAUACCAGCAGGAUCACCCAUGGUGGACAGGUUUCAGCGGAGCUUCCAGAUUAAGACUACGAAGAGGGACCUGGCCACCCACUUCUGAAAAGAUUGGCUGUGAAAACCCUAUGAAUAGCAGCAGAGCAUUGUCUGAUAUAGCACCAGGUGAGAGUAUGGCGCAAAAAGACCAGGCAGGGUUCUGCUCUGCUGUACAAAGUGUCGGUAGGAGGCAGAAUCCACUCCACAGCACCACCAACAGCAAACGUAUGGGCAUUAUAGGGGCACAUAAGACAACCUGGACAUAUCAGGGGAGUCUUCCCAGAGAAUAUAAUGAUUAAGUUGUACCUAGAAGUAUAGUUAGGAUUACAGAUGAAUGUGAUGAGUGUGUGGGAGGGUGGUAAGGGGUCAGGAGGAGAAGGGACCACAGCUAGAAAGAAAAGAAAAGCAGAUACUAGGUCAUGAAAAUCAUAUAAACUAAGUAAACUUGAAGGGAUGAGCAUGGCAGUAUCCUAUCUGUAUUACAAUUGUGUGGAGAUUGGAGAAGGAAAACCAGCCAGGGAGCUCAAUAAAGGAUGUUGCAGAAAUCUUAGUGAGAGAUGAUUGUGAUCUGAACUGUGAGUUUAGGAGUGAGGGUAAGGAGAAGUUGAUAGAUUCAAGAGAC
rnacentral:lncRNA from 1 species